rnacentral:sRNA from 1 species
CGAAACCAAUCACCUUUUGGCGAUCAUUUUGACGCACGGAGCCAUA